rnacentral:rRNA from 2 species
UACGUAGGUGGCGAGCGUUAUCCGGAAUCAUUGGGCGUAAAGAGGGAGCAGGCGGCAGUGCAGGUCUGCGGUGAAAGCCCGAAGCUAAACUUCGGUAAGCCGUGGAAACCGCACAGCUAGAGAGCAUCAGAGGAUCGCGGAAUUCCAUGUGUAGCGGUGAAAUGCGUAGAUAUAUGGAGGAACACCAGUGGCGAAGGCGGCGGUCUGGGGUGCAGCUGACGCUCAGUCCCGAAAGCGUGGGGAGCAAAUAGG